rnacentral:tRNA from 1 species
AAGCCCCGGUACCACCUUUGGUACUUCUUCAAAUUUGCAAUUUGACGUGGGUCACCACGGAGCU